rnacentral:tRNA from 4 species
GUCCCCAUCGUCUAGCCCGGUCAGGACACCAGCCUUUCAAGCUGGAGACACGGGUUCAAAUCCCGUUGGGGACACCA